rnacentral:rRNA from 1 species
UCCUCCAAGGCUAAAUACUCCUGACUGACCGAUAGUGAACCAGUACCGUGAGGGAAAGGCGAAAAGAACCCCGGCGAGGGGAGUGAAAAAGAACCUGAAACCGUGUACGUACAAGCAGUGGGAGCACCCUUCGGGGUGUGACUGCGUACCUUUUGUAUAAUGGGUCAGCGACUUAUAUUCUGUAGCAAGGUUAACCGAAUAGGGGAGCCGUAGGGAAACCGAGUCUUAACCGGGCGUUAAGUUGCAGGGUAUAGACCCGAAACC